AGUGAACGCUGGCGGUAGGCCUAACACAUGCAAGUCGAACGGCAGCACAGUAAGCGCUUGCUCUUACGGGUGGCGAGUGGCGGACGAGUGAGGCAUACAUCGGAAUCUACUUUUUCUUGGGGGAUAACGUAGGGCAACUUCCACUAAUACCUAAUACGUCCUACGGGUUGGAGCAGGGGAUCUACAGACCUUUGCCGAUUCAAUGAGCCGAUGUCGGAUUAGCUAGUUGGCGGGGUAAAGGCCUACCAAGGCGACGAUCCGUAGCUGGUCUGAGAGGAUGAUCAGCCACACUGGAACUGAGACACGGUCCAGACUCCUACGGGAGGCAGCAGUAGGGAAUAUUGGACAAUGGGCGAAAGCCUGACGCAGCCAUACCGCGUGGGUGAAGAAGGUCUUCGGGUUGUAAAGCUCUGUUGUUGGGAAAGAAAAGCAGCAUGUGAAUCCCUGGAUGUUUUGACGGUACCCAAACAGUAAGCCACGGCUAACUUCGUG
rnacentral:rRNA from 1 species